rnacentral:ncRNA from 1 species
UCAUUCCGUGGUCAUUUGAGCCGGUCGGCUUGCCGCCACGUUAAACAAAGGGCUAAAAGAUCGGGGCU